rnacentral:rRNA from 1 species
UACGAAGGGGGCUAGCGUUGUUCGGAAUUACUGGGCGUAAAGGGCGCGUAGGCGGUGUGUCAAGUCAGGCGUGAAAGCCCCGGGCUCAACCUGGGAACCGCGCUUGAGACUGGCACGCUCGAGUUCGGGAGAGGAUGGUGGAAUUCACAGUGUAGAGGUGAAAUUCGUAGAUAUUGGGAAGAACACCGAUGGCGAAGGCAGCCAUCUGGACCGACACUGACGCUGAGGCGCGAAAGCGUGGGGAGCAAACAGG